rnacentral:rRNA from 1 species
GAUGAACGCUGGCGGCGUGCCUAAUACAUGCAAGUCGAGCGAACAGACGAGGAGCUUGCGCCUCUUAGGGUAGCGGCGGACGGGUGAGUAACGCGUGGAUAACCUUCCUAUAAGUCUGGGAUAACAUCGGGAAACCAGUGCUAAUACCGCAUAAUAUCUUUAACCGCAUGGUUCAAGAGUGAAAGACGCAUUUGCUGCACCCAAUAGUCGUAUCCGGGUCUCAUAAGUUGGUGGGUAAGGAAACGCCCUACCAAGGCGACGUACCGUGGCCGCCCUGAGGGGGUGAUCGGCCACACUGGAACUGAGACUCGGUCCAGACUCCUACGGGAGGCAGCAGUGGGGAAUUUUGGGCAAUGGGCGAAAGCCUGACGGAGCAACGCCGCGUGAGUGAUGAAGGUCUUCGGAUCGUAAAACCCUUUUGUUAGGAAAGAACAACUGUGGAAGUAACUACUCACGUAUUGACGGUACCUAAUCAGAAAGCGACGGCUAACUACGUG